AGGAAUAUUGGGCAAUGGACGAAAGUCUGACCCAGCCAUGCCGCGUGCAGGAAGACGGCCCUAUGGGUUGUAAACUGCUUUUAUAUAGGAAGAAACCCAUCUACGU
rnacentral:rRNA from 1 species